rnacentral:rRNA from 1 species
UUAUUUGGGUGUGACGUUUGGGACGAGAGGAAGAGCAUGCGGUUUGUGGAGUACUUCAUUGGCUUGCGAAUCGACAUGUAAUUUACUCUAUCUCUUUUUCAUAUCCAAAAGACAAAAUGAAGUCAUGCUAUAAGAAAAACGUUAGGAAAAGCAACCGGGAAACCGAACUUCCUGACGAAAUGUAUAGCGUGGCUUGAGGGGUCCUUCGGGAGGAUUUUGUUCAAAAUAGGCUUCUACCGAUCCGUCUUGAAACACGGACCAAGGAGUGUAACACAUAUGCGAGUUUGCGGGUGCAAAAACCCAUAAGCGCAAUGAAAGUGAGUAUAAGGUGUGAUACCUUCUAAAUUGGGGGUUGCAACAUCGACCGACCUUGAUCUUCUGUGAAGGGUUUGAGUAAGAGCAUAUUGUUACGACCGAAGAAUGGUGAACUAUACUUGAGCAGCCUGAAGCCUGAGGAACUACAGGUGGGAAGGGACGCGAGCGGUACUGACGUGCAAAUCGUCGUCAG